UCUUAAUUUCUAUAGAAAAAAAAUAUUUCUUUUAUUUCUAUAUAACAACUUUAUGCACAUUUUUUAUAUUCGCUUGCUGUUUAAAAUUUAUUCUAUAAAAAUGUUCUAUGACCGAAUGCUGAAAGUUUUGUUCGUAAAGUGUUCUUCAGUAUGCUGCUUGGGGAAAAAAUUCAACAUUCAUCAGUAACGAGUACACAAAACCGCAAAUUUUCUUGUAUAUGCAGCAGCAGCAUGCAACUGAAAUAUAUCUAAAGCAGAGUGCAUCUUUCUUUUCUACUCCAAUUCCUAAACAAAAGUCAUGCAAUCAUUAAACCUAAAAGAUAGUCAUUACUAUGUUCCGUUAUCUUUAAAUUGUUGCCGAAAAAAAAAAAACAAAAAUGUUAACGUUUUGCAACGGUGGUGUGAUUGCAACGUAAAAACGUAA